CCUACGGGAGGCAGCAGUCGAGAAUCAUUCACAAUGGGGGAAACCCUGAUGGUGCGACGCCGCGUGGGGGAUUGAAGGUCUUCGGAUUGUAAACCCCUGUCAUGUGGGAGCAAAUUCAACAGAUUGUACCACACGAGGUAGAGACGGCUAACUCUGUGCCAGCAGCCUCGGUAAUUCCGAGGUCUCACGCGUUGUUCGGAAUCACUGGGCGUAAAGCGUGCGUAGGCUGUUUCGUAAGUCGUGUGUGAAAUGAGCGGGCUCAACCGGCGAACUGCACAUGAUACUGGGAGACUAGAGUAAGGGAGGGGGAAGCGGAAUGCUCGGUGUAGGAGUGAAAUGCGUAGAUAUCGAGAGGAACACUCGUGGCGAAGGCGGGUACCGGGAAAUUAACUGACGCUGAGGCGCGAAGGCCAGGGGAGCGAAAAGGAUUAGAUACCCGUGUAGUC
rnacentral:rRNA from 1 species